rnacentral:rRNA from 1 species
AAAGAAAAAAAGAGUGAAAAAAGAGGAAGAGGGAAGAAAAAGGGGAAGUGGAGAAAGUAAAGAGGGGAAGGGGGAGGGGGGAGGGAAGGGGAGGGUGAAAAGAGGAGGGGAGGGGAAAGGGGAUAAUAGGGAAGAAAUGGGGAAAGGAGGGAUGUGGGGAAGGAGAAGGUUAGGGAAGGGGAAAGUUGGAGAUGUUAGUUUAAGGAGGGAGUAGGAAAGGGAAGGAAAAAACGAAAAUAAAUAAAAAAAAGAGAAGUGAUGAAGAGGAACUACGGAGCUGAAGUUACCGAUACGGAGCUACCAGGAAAAGAAACUAAGCGAAAGGCUUUACUAAAGGGUACUGAAAACAGAGAAAGGUGGUAAGGUAGAGAAUACAAAGGAGCUUGAGAGAACUCGGGUGAAGGAA